AUUUUUGAGAGUUUGAUCCUGGCUCAGGAUAAACGCUGGCGGCGUGCCUUAGGCAUGCAAGUCGAAUGGUGCUUUGGUCGCAAGGCUGAAGUGCAAUGGCGGACGGGUGAGUAAUAGUAAGGAAUCUACCCCGAAGUGAAGGAUAGCUCGCCGAAAGGCGGGGUAAUCCUGCAUGUGCCGAGCUCAGCUCGGCAAAGAGCGUAACUGCUCGCUUUGGGAGGAGCCUUAUUCCUAUCAGCUAGUUGGUGGGGUAAUGGCCUACCAAGGCUAUGACGGGUAGCUGGUGUGAGAGCAUGUACAGCCACAAUGGCACUGAGAUACGGGCCAUACACCUACGGGUGGCAGCAACCGGGAAUCGUCGGCAAUGGACGAAAGUCUGACCGCGCGACGCCGCGUGAGGGAUGAAGCCUUUCGGGGUGUAAACCUCUUUUGCCCCGACACAUGUCGGGGAGAAUAAGCGCCUACUAACUACGUGCCAGCAGUCGCGGUAAUACGUAGGGCGCAAGCGUUAUCCGAAUUUACUGGGCGUAAAAGGUCGCGUAGGCGGCUUACAACAUCUUAUCUUAAAUGUCUCCGCUUAACGGGGUCACGGGUAAGAGAUGUGUAAACUAGAGUAUCGGUGGAGUUUCUGGAACUUCCGGUGUAGCAGUGAAAUGCGUUGAUAUCGGAAGGAACACCAAGAGCGAAGGCAGGAAACUAAUCGAUUACCCCGAUUUAAUCGGGGUUACUGACGCUGAGGCACGAUAGCUAGGGGAGCGAAGCAGAUUAGAGACCUGCGUAGUCCUAGCCGUAAACGCAUGGGUGCUAGUUGCCCGUCGCAAGAUGGGUGACGUAAGCUAACGCGUUAAGCACCCCGCCUGGGGAGUACGACCGCAAGGUUAAAACUCAAAGGAAUUGGCGGGGACCCGCACAACCGGUGGAGCAUGUGGUUUAAUUCGAGACGAAGCGAAAGACCUCACCACGGUUAGACAUGCUACCGUACAGUCCUGAUGAAAAUCGGGACAAUUCGCAAGAAUGGUAGCAAAGCUGCUGCAUGGCUGUCGUCAGCUCGUACCGUGAGGUGUUCCCUUAAGUGGGGUAACGAGCGCAACCCUUGCCGUUUGUUAAAUUUUCAAACGGGACGGUCCCGAUGUAUAUCGGGAAGGAAGGUGGGGACGACGUCAAGUCAGCACGGCGCUUAUGCCGUGGGCCACACACAUCCUACAAUGGCGAAUAACAACGAGCCGCGAGAGGGUGACCUUAAGCAAAUCUCUGAAAUUUCGCCUCAGUUGGGAUUGAAGUCUGCAACUCGACUUCAUGAACUAGGAAUCGGUAGUAAUCGCGGAUCAGCAGGUCGCGGUGAAUACGUUCUCGGGUCUUGCACACACCGCCCGUCAAGCCAACAAAGUUGAUGGUGGCCGAUGUCCGCCAACUGGCGGAUGAAGCCAAACUCAGCGAUGGGGACUAAGUCGUAACAAGGUAUCCCUACUGGAAGGUGGGGAUGGAUCACCUCCUUU
rfam:Candidatus Gottesmanbacteria bacterium RIFCSPLOWO2_01_FTLL_39_12b rifcsplowo2_01_scaffold_21, whole genome shotgun sequence.